AAUGCUUAGGAAUCUGCCAUUUAGUGGGGGACAACAUUCCGAAAGGAAUGCUAAUACCGCAUACGUCCUACGGGAGAAAGCAGGGGAUCUUCGGACCUUGCGCUAAAUGAUGAGCCUAAGUCGGAUUAGCUAGUUGGUGGGGUAAAGGCCUACCAAGGCGACGAUCUGUAGCGGGUCUGAGAGGAUGAUCCGCCACACUGGGACUGAGACACGGCCCAGACUCCUACGGGAGGCAGCAGUGGGGAAUAUUGGACAAUGGGGGGAACCCUGAUCCAGCCAUGCCGCGUGUGUGAAGAAGGCCUUUUGGUUGUAAAGCACUUUAAGCGAGGAGGAGGCUACUAGUAUUAAUACUACUGGAUAGUGGACGUUACUCGCAGAAUAAGCACCGGCUAACUCUGUGCCAGCAGCCGCGGUAAUACAGAGGGUGCGAGCGUUAAUCGGAUUUACUGGGCGUAAAGCGUGCGUAGGUGGCCAAUUAAGUCAAAUGUGAAAUCCCCGAGCUUAACUUGGGAAUUGCAUUCGAUACUGGUUGGCUAGAGUAUGGGAGAGGAUGGUAGAAUUCCAGGUGUAGCGGUGAAAUGCGUAGAGAUCUGGAGG
rnacentral:rRNA from 1 species